UGCAGGCUGAACAAUCCCAAUUCUCUCAGCCUUUCCUCAUAGCAGAGCUGCUCAUCCCUCUGAUCAACUUGUCCUUCUUCUGAGAUC